UAUAUUUAGACAUUCUCAAAGACAACUUUUUGAGAAGGUUUAGAUUUUUGCUGAUUUCAACCUCUUAUUUGAGUCUUCUGGCUCAAUUUUGCCAUAUUAUCACAGCCACACCAGUUCUUGUGUGUGUGUGUUUUAUAGUGUUG